rnacentral:rRNA from 1 species
UACGAAGGGGGCGAGCGUUGUUCGGAUUUACUGGGCGUAAAGGGCGCGUAGGCGGCCAUCUUUGUCAGGCGUGAAAGCCCCGGGCUCAACCUGGGAAUGGCGUCUGGGGACGGGGUGGCUAGAGAUCGGGAGAGGAGCGUGGAAUUCCCAGUGUAGAGGUGAAAUUCGUAGAUAUUGGGAAGAACACCGGUGGCGAAGGCGGCGCUC